AUGACCAGCCACACUAGAAACUGAGACACGGUCCAGACUCCUACGGGAGGCAGCAGUGGGGAAUAUUGCACAAUGGGCGCAAGCCUGAUGCAGCCAUGCCGCGUGUAUGAAGAAGGCCUUCGGGUUGUAAAGUACUUUCAGCGGGGAGGAAGGCGAUGCGGUUAAUAACCGCGUCGAUUGACGUUACCCGCAGAAGAAGCACCGGCUAACUCCGUGCCAGCAGCCGCGGUAAUACGGAGGGUGCAAGCGUUAAUCGGAAUUACUGGGCGUAAAGCGCACGCAGGCGGUCUGUCAAGUCAGAUGUGAAAUCCCCGGGCUUAACCUGGGAACUGCAUUUGAAACUGGCAGGCUAGAGUCUUGUAGAGGGGGGUAGAAUUCCAGGUGUAGCGGUGAAAUGCGUAGAGAUCUGGAGGAAUACCGGUGGCGAAGGCGGCCCCCUGGACAAAGACUGACGCUCAGGUGCGAAAGCGUGUGGAGCAAACAGGAUUAGAUACCCUGGUAGUCCACGCCGUAGACGAUGUCGACUUGGAGGCUGUUCCCUUGAGGAGUGGCUUCCGGAGCUAACGCGUUAAGUCGACCGCCUGGGGAGUACGGCCGCA
rnacentral:rRNA from 1 species